GGCCAGGAAGAUCCCUCGGAGGAGGAAAUUGCAACCACUCCAGUAUUCUUGCCUGGAGAAUCCCAGGGACAGAGGAGCCUGGCGGGCUACAGUCCAAAGGAUGGCAAAGAAUCAGACACAAUGCAGCAGCCACACAAGGGUGUAGGGCACCAAGGAAUCAAUGUGGGUUAAGCAUCUGCGGGCCAGAUUCUGGCCGGGCUGGGGAGGUGGUGAAAAUGAAUCAUCUGGAGGUCAGCAGUGGAGGAGAGACAGGCAAAUUCUUCAUUCCCCCAAGUAACCCGGAUGGAAAGUCCAAGAUCAAGGGCGACUCUUGAGGGGGAAAUGAUCCCUUUCCUCCAGUAACCCCAAACAAUUCCAAUGGCAAAGUACAUGGAAAUGCUAAGGACUGAUUCCUCAGUAUUGGAGACCUUGAAGAGCGUGACUAUCCCUUAUCAACCCACAAUCUCACUGGAUGGACCACGUGUCCGACCUGUUCUAUGGAGAGUGAGGCAGUUUCAUGGUGUUCUCACUCAGAAAUCAGCAAGCAGUCUUUGCUUAAGAUGAAUGCCCAGUCCACGUCCACCGGGGUGGGGAAGAGGAAAA